GUAGGUGGCUAGCGUUGUCCGGAAUUAUUGGGGCGUAAAGCGCGCGCAGGCGGUCCUUUAAGUCUGAUGUGAAAGCCCACGGGCUCAACCGUGGGAGGGUCAUUGGAAACUGGGGGACUUGAGUGCAGAAGAGAAGAGUGGAAUUCCACGUGUAGCGGUGAAAUGCGUAGAGAUGUGGAGGAACACCAGUGGCGAAGGCGACUCUUUGGUCUGUAACUGACGCUGAGGCGCGAAAGCGUGGGGAGCAAACAGGAUUAGAUACCCUGGUAGUCCACGCCGUAAACGAUGAGUGCUAAGUGUUAGAGGGUUUCCGCCCUUUAGUGCUGCAGCAAACGCAUUAAGCACUCCGCCUGGGGAGCACGGCCGCAAGGCUG
rnacentral:rRNA from 1 species